GCUCGGAUGCUUCUCGUCGCUCGGGUCAUUCCCGUCGCUCAGAGCGGAGUCACUCGCGUGAAAUUGGCCAGGGCUCACAACAACUUCCGCAGGAGUCGGAGGAAGAGCGAGAGGAAUUUCCGACACGGACUCAG